CCUACGGGGGGCUGCAGUGAGGAAUAUUGGUCAAUGGACGAGAGUCUGAACCAGCCAAGUAGCGUGAAGGAUGACUGCCCUAUGGGUUGUAAACUUCUUUUAUAUGGGAAUAAAAUGUUCCACGUGUGGGAUUUUGUAUGUACCAUAUGAAUAAGGAUUGGCUAACUCCGUGCCAGCAGCCGCGGUAAUACGGAGGAUCCGAGCGUUAUCCGGAUUUAUUGGGUUUAAAGGGAGCGUAGGUGGAUUGUUAAGUCAGUUGUGAAAGUUUGCGGCUCAACCGUAAAAUUGCAGUUGAAACUGGCAGUCUUGAGUACAGUAGAGGUGAGCGGAAUUCGUGGUGUAGCGGUGAAAUGCUUAGAUAUCACGAAGAACUCCGAUUGCGAAGGCAGUUCACUGGACUGCAACUGACACUGAGGCUCGAAAGUGUGGGUAUCAAACAGGAUUAGAUACCCCUGUAGUC
rnacentral:rRNA from 1 species